GUCGGUGACUAUGGCGUAGAGGCUACACCCGUUCCCAUCCCGAACACGGCCGUUAAGCUCUACAGCGCGGAUGGUACUGCCGGGGUCGCCCGGUGGGAGAGUACGUCGUCGCCGACU
rnacentral:rRNA from 1 species